AUCCCAGCUUCACGUCUCCACCUUGGGGUAAUCUGUCUAGAGGAUGUACUGUUUAACUUAAAUGCUCUCAUCUGGCUAGCCCAUUCUGGUUCACCACUGCAUCCACAGUCCAAUGUGGGGAGGAGGAGGAAGGUUGGAGAAUGGCAGGUUUCUCAGAGACCAGAGGCCACGCAGAGAGGUGCCCCAGAAGCCUGAAUCCAGUCCUCAGCCCUGGUUCCACCUCAGAAGCUGCCAGUAGCCUGGGGAACCAGCCCCAGGAUAUCAUGUAUCUCUGGGAAGGCCACAGAAGCAGGGCCGCCAUUUCAUCAUUGUCACUCACUUCAUUCCCAUGGAGCGCUGGUGAGAUCAUCGUUCAUCAGCUGUAGGGAAGCAGGCGAUUUAUCAGGGGUCACCUACUAAAUUAACACAGAACCAAGAUGAAAAUGUGUCACCGUCUGAUGCUUAGAGCCAAGACUGGCCUCCACCACCUGGCUUCCAAAGACAAGUGAUGACCUCCAACUGCAAAACAAUGACAGACACUAUGAGGGCUCUACUCCAGCUAUCGCCUUGAGCAGAGAAAGUCCCUUCAGAACUGGAACCAAGAGAGGUCGUGUCCAAUUCUUGUCUCAACCAAGCACCCCCAGAAGUCUUCAUCUGACUUUGGAAUCUAAACUGGGGUUCCAUGGCUCUACUCUGUAGCUCUCUAUCAUUGUCCCUACCACACAAAUCUAUAUUUGCUUUAUUUGCAAAUUUAUUUGUUUCAUGUCGAACUAUCCCCUAAGCUGAUAGAUGUGAGGAUGGGGAUGUGUCCCAAAGAUUAAUACUCUACCAAUUCUAUAAUUAGCUCUCAAUUUAUUCAUCCCACGAGUAGUUAUUGUCAUUCACAUGCAAUAUAGUUUGCUGAACUGAUACUAGACAUCAAAUUGGACUACAUGACUGCAUCAGUUUCCUAUUGCUGCUGUAACAAAUUGUCCUAAAUUUAGGGGUUUAAAACAACUAAUACUGACUUGUUGGAAGUGAAAACUCAGUGUCACUGGGCAGAGUGCAAAGUGUUGGCAGCACUGGCUCCUUCUGAAGGUUCUCAGGGGCUGUCUACUGCCUUACCUUUCCCAGUUUCCAGAAGCUGCCAACAUUCUUUGGCUUCUCACUGCUCCCUCCAGCUUUGAUACCAGGUGUGUUAGCAUCUGGAGAUAAUUCCCUGGCCUCUGCUUCCACCCACUCCUGUCUAACUCUGACCUCCUGCCUUCUUAAGGCCCCAUGUGAUGACACUAAUCAAUGAAGAUCACCCAAGAUUGUCUCCUCAUCUCAAGAUCCCUAAUUUCUACAUAUCACCAAAGUCCCUUCACCAUGUCAAGGAACAUAUCUAUAGGUUCCUGGGAUUAGGACCUGCUCACCUUUGAGGGCCCAGCAUUCAGCCCACUGCAGUGACCUAUGUAACACAUAACUGCAAAUCUCUGAAUGAAAGACUCUUUUUAAAUUCCAGUCUCAGAAUAUUUUAAAAAGUGGAAAGAUUUAUACGAUCUGAAGAGAAACCAGAGUAGUCAAAAUAUUUUAGUAAAUUAUGCAUCCUACACUUUGGAAUCACAUCUUUCUCUGGUUGGAAGCUUGCUUUCUCAUCAGGUCAGCACGUUUAUGAAAUGUGUGAUAUGACUGCAGGCCUGGGGGCUACAGGACCCCUCCUGUCAUGGAUUCAAUUGUGUCCCCCAAAGAUACGUUGUUAGCCUGACCUCAGUACCUGUGAACAUGGCUUUAUUUGGAAACAGACUAUUUCAAGGUGGGAUCAAGUCAAGAUUGGACCCAUUUGGAUUAUGGUGGGCCCUGAAUCCACUGGCUAAGAAGAGAUUUGGAAGCAAAUACGAAGGGGGAAGUUGUUCAAGUGAUGAUGGAGGCUGAGGCUGGAGAGGUGGGGCUAUAGGCCAAGGAAUGCCAAGGGCUACCUCAGACCAGAAGCCGGAAGAGGCUGGAAGGAUCCUCAGUCCCCUAGAUCUCUUGGAGGGAGCAUGGCCCUGCUCCACAUCACGUGCAGAUUUUCAGCCUCCAGAAAAGAGGGAGGGUAAUGUCUGUUGUUCAUACGACCUGACUGGGGGUAGUUUGUUGCAGCAGCCCUCGGAAACUCAGGCACACGCUGUUCCUAUGUAGCCGGCCUGUCCUCAUGGGCUCUGUCGAGUCCCCGUGAAAAUACAGUUGGGCUGCUGUAGAGGGCCCUGUUCCCCAGGUAGCGACCCAUCAUCUCACUUGGUCACAGGGCUGCCGGAAAAUGCUCUGCCACUGGGAAUGAGCUAUUGCCCCCCUUGCUCAGACUGCACUCUCCGUCAGACUCAAAGUCACCACUGUGAGCUCAGUGUUCUCCUUAUUUCUUGGAAAGCACCUUCAGAACCAGUUCAAGGAAAACAAACUGUGAGGUUUGUGCAGGAUCUAUUUAAAGCAAAUCAUUGGUUCUAGUUCCAAUAACAAACCAGAGGCCAGUUGGGUCUUUGGGACAAGAGUAGAGGCGCUGAGCAUGUGUGCUUAACUGCAGGGCAGGCAGGUCCCCACGCACGUCGCCUGGCUUGCCCCCUCCUUCACUGGGCAGCUGCCUCAGUGGCUGCCUGCCCAGCACUCUGCCCAAAAUGGACAGAGAACUACACAGUCACCAAAUAUGAAUCUUAAAGCAGAUUUGAUGUAGGAGUUACCAUUUUGGUGUGCUUAGUGGGAGCAUUAUGAGCCCAGGUAGGCCCUGUUAUCCAGAAAUCCCAAACUGCUUGGUUAUAGCAGGAUUUAUGCAUGCAAAGCCUACUCCAGGGCUCUAAGAAUGCAGAGUCAGUGAAUGGCCCAAAUCUGGAAGCACCGCAGCUGCCUGUGCCUGGCUGGGACCCAGUCUGAGGCAAAUGUUUCUUCUAUCCUGACAUUGGCAAGCUCUCCUCUGUGGGCGGUGAUAGCAGGGUGGACCAAUGGACUUAUUCCUCUCCCGCACAUCAAUUCUAUGUACCACCCUAUGCCAAGCACUGGCAAUGC